UCCAUCAAACCCAACAUCACCUCCAAAAUAAAAUAAAAACUCUUAACCUAAAACUGAAAACCAAGCCUGAAAGCCUAUGCCUGCUCUAUGGGUAGCCUAACCCAUCUCCUCUUCCCUUGACUCUCUAUCUGCAGUUAGCUAGGCUUUUGAUGGUUGUCCUUCUCUACGCAGCACCACACAAGGGUAAUACGGAAAACACCCUCUGGAGAAAGAAGACCGAGAACAAGCAACACCCCCGAAUUCUCAAGAAGGGUCUUCUUGGGAAAUCUCCUGCGGUUGUUUCAUCGUUUUGUAUGGGAAGAGAGAGGGGAAAGGGUAGAUAUGGUGCUAUGGAACAGUAAAUAUACGGGCUAUAGCUAGCUGGGGAAAGAUAAAUUCUUUCUUCCUUUCUUGACCUAUAAGAAGAGGAGUCCUUGAUGAUGCCACUGGUAAGUGUGGCAGUGUUUGGUCAGAAAUGAGAUUAAAGAUCUCUGUGACCUCAUCACUGCGUCUGCUGCUGCUGUUCUUUCUACCACAAGACGCACAAGCACCAACCAAGAAAGAGCUAAUGAUUCAAUCAACAAGUCUCCAAG
rnacentral:lncRNA from 1 species